rnacentral:SRP_RNA from 1 species
GCCGGGUGCGGUGGCAUGUGCCUGUAAUCCAAGUCACUGGGAGGCUGAGGUUGGUGGAUCAAGUGAGCUGAGGAGCUCUGGGCUGCAGCACGCUAUGUCGAACGGGUGUCCACGCUAAGUUCGGUAUCGAUAUGGUGUUCCUGGGGAGCCCGGGACCACCAGGUUGUCUAAGGAGGGGUGAACCGCCCAGGUCGAAACGAAGCAGGUCAAAUCCCCCGUGCUGUCCAGUAGUGGGAUAAUACCUGUGAGUAGAUGCUGCAGUGCAGCCUUGGCAAAACAUCGAGACCUAAUCUUUU